UCUUCCCUACGGGGGGCAGCAGUAGGGAAUUUUCGUCAAUGGGCGCAAGCCUGAACGAGCGAUGCCGCGUGAGUGAAGAAGGCCUUCGGGUCGUAAAGCUCCGUUCCGGGGGAACCAAGGCAGCAUCAGGAAAUGGGUGCUGACUGAUGGUGCCCCGCCAGAAAGUCACCGCUACCUACGUGCCAGCAGCCGCGGUAAUACGUAGGUGGCGACCUCCAUCCGGAAUGAUUGGGCGUAAAGGGUGCGCAGGCGGCCCUGCAAGUCUGGAGUGAAACGCAUGAGCUCAACU
rnacentral:rRNA from 1 species